UAAGACUUAAAUUUGGGAUCUGGCUUCC
rnacentral:piRNA from 1 species